rnacentral:lncRNA from 1 species
UGAUUCUGACGAAUUUCUGACGAACCAGUCCGUCGGUAUAAUUUCGUCGGAAAAAAAAGAUUCGUCGGAAUUUCGUCAGACCUUCCGACGACUUUCUGACGAAUACCGAGAAACGUCAUUCUGACGAACUUCCGACGAUAUUCCGAUGCGGACACACGAGACCAGAGUUCAUCGAAAAAACUAUAUACCGACGGAGCACGUCCCUCGGACAAUACCGACGAACCGAGUCCUCGGAAAAUACCGACGGAUA